AGGUAUUCGAGGUACUAUCUAAGUCGACUACGGACUGACUAGCUCGAAUGCGAUGAUAGCUGUAGUAGUAUGCUACUAGCACGAUCUAGCUGUCGAGAUGCAGCACUGACUAGUCCGUCUAGCUCUACGAGCAGCAUAGAUCUGCACAUCGCGCAGCUGAUGCAGCAUGCGCUGUUGAGAGCUCGAUGUAGCACUCAGCGAGAGAGAUAGUGUGUAUAGCACAUGCAUGACGUACUCGCAGAGAGCACGCUACUCGUGCAGCAGCGCGUAUACGAGUGCAGCGUAUCGACUACUAGCGUAAGCGCACGCAGCGUUGUAGUCAGAUGUGAAUCCGCGCUACGUAGACUGCAUUGACUGCAGCUAGAGUCUGUAGAGAGGUAGACUCAGUGUAGCGUGAAAUGCGUAGAGAUCUAGACGAAUUCGGUGGCGAAGCGCCCCUGGACAAAGACUGACGCUCAGGUGCGAAAGCGUGGAGAGCAAACAGGAUUAGAUAUCUGGUAGUCCACGCUGUAAACGAUGUCGACUUGGAGGUUGUGCCCUUGAGGCGUGGCUUCCGGAGCUAACGCGUUAAGUCGACCGCCUGGGGAGUACGGCCGCAAGGUUAAAACUCAAAUGAAUUGACGGGGGCCCGCACAAGCGGUGGAGCAUGUGGUUUAAUUCGAUGCAACGCGAAGAACCUUACCUACUCUUGACAUCCACAGAAUUCGGCAGAGAUGCCUUAGUGCCUUCGGGAACUGUGAGACAGGUGCUGCAUGGCUGUCGUCAGCUCGUGUUGUGAAAUGUUGGGUUAAGUCCCACAACGAGCGCAACCCUUAUUCUUUGUUGCCAGCACGUAAUGGUGGGAACUCAAGGGAGACUGCCGGUGAUAAACCGGAGGAAGGUGGGGAUGACGUCAAGUCAUCAUGGCCCUUACGAGUAGGGCUACGCACGUGCUACAAUGGCGUAUACGAAGAGAAGCGAACUCGCGAGAGCCAGCGGACCUCAUAAAGUACGUCGUAGUCCGGAUCGGAGUCUGCAACUCGACUCCGUGAAGUCGGAAUCGCUAGUAAUCGUAGAUCAGAAUGCUACGAAUUCCCGA
rnacentral:rRNA from 1 species